rnacentral:rRNA from 1 species
GACAGAGGUGCCGAGCGUUAGGCGGAAUCACUGGGCUUAAAGCGUGUGUAGGCGGCGGCGUAAGUACCUUGUGAAAUCCCACGGCUCAACCGUGGAACUGCUCGGUAUACUGCGUCGCUUGAGCCAGCUAGGGGCGACCGGAACAAACGGUGGAGCGGUGAAAUGCGUAGAUAUCAGGAGGAACACCGGUGGCGAAGGCGGUUCUCUGGGCAUUACCUGACGCUGAGGAGCGAAAGUGUGGGGAGCGAACAGG